AGUAUCUCAUUUGAUGAGUGAGUGUCCGAAGAUUAAGUGCUUUAAAUGCGAUCAGAUAGGGCAUAAAGCAUCAGUAUGCCCGAAAGUACAAUGUCAAAGGAAAUCAAUUUUCAAAACAAUAUCAUGUGGAAAAGUUGAGCUGGCUGGUUUCCAUUGAAACCGUUUAUUGGGAGUGUGUAAAAAAAAGAGGAUAUUGACUAUGAAGUAGUGAUUGGAAACCACAUUUUAGAAUUAGCUGAUAUGGUUAUCACAAAGGGAAAUGCUACUUUUAAGCCUAAAGAAGAAGAAGUGAUGCCAAACACAGAAGCGAAAGAAACUGUACACAAUGAAGAAGUGAAAACUCCGAAGGGUAUGUUACAGGAAUUUGAGAGUUUGUUUUUAUUAGCUGAAGAAGGAAAGAGUGAAAUAGAUUUGUGCCAUAUAACUAAAUCGGACGUCAAAGAAGUCAAGCAGCUUAUUCACAGUUAUGUACCACAACCGUCAAAGAAGAGUCCAGUCGAAAUGAAAAUAUUAUUAAGUGACGAAUGCCCAGUAUACGAACGGCCGAAGCGUUUAUCUUUCGUUGAUAAAGGUAUUGUGGACUCAACAGUAGAAAAAUUAUUAACCGGGGUUGAGAUGAGGACUAAUAGUUUCCCUGAGUUACAAGAACUUUUGGAAGAGGAAGCCAUAGAAGAGCUGGAAGUUGAACGCACUAACGUUCGUCAGGAAGCUCAGCAUAAUAUGGAGAGAAUCCAAGAGGAAAAGCUAUAACAAAAAACGCAAAAAGGUGGUGAAAGUUAAGUCUCAUGGACGAUAUGACGUAGAAAAGGUAGGAGAUCACCAAGGUCCUGGGAAAACCUCAACUGUCACAGAGUAUAUGAAGUCUUGGAAUGGUCAAGUGAAUUCAUCAGACGAUUCAACAUUCGAGGCGAAUGAUAAGUCAGUCCGGCCGAAUGUGGGAAUGGGUCGAGAGACGAGAAGCGGUCGAUUGUAUUGAACCAGUUCAGAGGUGCAUAAUUUGAAGGUUAUCAACGAUAUCGAUGACAAACCAUCGAUAUUAUUGCGAAAAGAGUUCAAUGGCGUCAAGUUGUGUCGACCGGUUGUGUUCCUCGUGGCUGCUCGAAUAAAAAGAGUAUAGUUAUGUAAUAAUUAAGUGAUAAAUGUGUAAAGAAAUAAUGUCGAAUAAAACUGUACGAUUGAUUGUGAGUAAAAACGGCCUAGAAAUUCGGGA